rnacentral:snRNA from 15 species
AUGCCUUAAACUAAUGAGUAAGGAAAAUAACGAGCCUAGGUAGCCCUAGGUUCCACAGCUUAUUAGUCUGUGAGGAAUUUCUCUAAGGGGACAGGUUGCCCUUGGUGUGGCCCAUCUUACUUUGGUGGGAUGCCCAUGACUGGUGAUCUUCCCU